rnacentral:lncRNA from 1 species
UACUUAAGUUUUUCUUUUUUCGAAUUUUCGUGCCGAACCUCCAUAUAACGAAAUCCUCUUUAUAAUGAAGUUUUUCAGGAAUUUGUCAAUUUCGUUAUAUCCAGGUUUAACUAUUGGAUAAUUUGA